rnacentral:rRNA from 1 species
AUUGAACGCUGGCGGCAGGCCUAACACAUGCAAGUCGAACGGUAACAGGGAUCAGCUUGCUGAUUCGCUGACGAGUGGCGGACGGGUGAGUAAUGUCUGGGAAACUGCCUGAUGGAGGGGGAUAACUACUGGAAACGGUAGCUAAUACCGCAUAACGUCGCAAGACCAAAGAGGGGGACCUUCGGGCCUCUUGCCAUCGGAUGUGCCCAGAUGGGAUUAGCUAGUAGGUGGGGUAACGGCUCACCUAGGCGACGAUCCCUAGCUGGUCUGAGAGGAUGACCAGCCACACUGGAACUGAGACACGGUCCAGACUCCUACGGGAGGCAGCAGUGGGGAAUAUUGCACAAUGGGCGCAAGCCUGAUGCAGCCAUGCCGCGUGUAUGAAGAAGGCCUUCGGGUUGUAAAGUACUUUCAGCGGGGAGGAAGGGAGUAAAGUUAAUACCUUUGCUCAUUGACGUUACCCGCAGAAGAAGCACCGGCUAACUCCAUG